rnacentral:rRNA from 1 species
GAUCAUGGCUCAGGAUGAACGCUAGCUACAGGCUUAACACAUGCAAGUCGAGGGGCAGCAUGAACUUAGCUUGCUAAGUUUGAUGGCGACCGGCGCACGGGUGAGUAACACGUAUCCAACCUUCCGUUUACUCAGGGAUAGCCUUUCGAAAGAAAGAUUAAUACCUGAUAGUAUGGUGAGAUUGCAUGAUAACACCAUUAAAGAUUUAUUGGUAAGCGAUGGGGAUACGUUCCAUUAGG